UACAGAGGGGGCAAGCGUUAUUCGGAAUUAUUGGGCGUAAAGGGCGCGUAGGCGGCUUGGCAAGUGGAAGGUGAAAUCCCUCGGCUUAACCGAGGAACUGCCCUCCAAACUGCUUCGCUUGAGACCGGGAGAGGUGAGUGGAAUUCCCAGUGUAGCGGUGAAAUGCGUAGAUAUUGGGAGGAACACCAGUGGCGAAGGCGGCUCACUGGACCGACACUGAUGCUGAGGAGCGAAAGCCAGGGGAGCAAACGGG
rnacentral:rRNA from 1 species